UGUUUUUAGGUGACUAGUGGCUUGGACAUACUUGGCAAUGAAGAAGAGAUGCUCUCGGAAGUUAAGCAGGGUCGGGCCUGGUUAGUACUUGGAUGGGAGACCACCUAGGAAGACCAGGUGCUAUAGACAU
ensembl:rRNA 5S_rRNA 5S ribosomal RNA